AAUAUAUAUAUCAUACCCUCUUCUUGAGUGGUUUGGAUGUGGGGGGUUUGCUGGCCUCUUGAAAAGGUUCAGCUCUCCUGAAAUGCAUUAGCAGAACAGCUUGUUCAUUCAUUGGUGUGAUAACUAUCUACGCUAUUGGGUGCAAAGGUGGUUCAGCUUUCUAACUGGAUUUAUCAUUUUU
rnacentral:misc_RNA from 1 species